rnacentral:rRNA from 1 species
AGCAGCCGCGGUAAUUCCAGCUCCAAUAGCGUAUAUUAAAGUUGUUGCAGUUAAAAAGCUCGUAGUUGAAUUUCGGGAUCAAUAUGUUGGUCGUGCCUCGGUACGUACUAGCAUAUUGGUUUCUCCUUUCUGAAGAACCAUGAUGUCAUUUAUUUGGUGUCGUGGGGAAUCAGGACUGUUACUUUGAAAAAUUAGAGUGUUUAAAGCAGGCUCACGCUUGAAUACAUUAGCAUGGAAUAAUGAAAUAGGACGUCUGAUUCUAUUUUGUUGGUUUCUAGGAUCGACGUAAUGAUUAAUAGGGAUAGUUGGGGGCAUUAGUAUUCAAUUGUCAGAGGUGAAAUUCUUGGAUUUAUUGAAGACUAACUACUGCGAAAGCAUUUGCCAAGGAUGUUUUCAUUAAUCAAGAACGAAAGUUAGGGGAUCGAAGACGAUCAGAUACCGUCGUAGUCUUAACCAUAAACUAUGCCGACUAGGGAUCGGAUGAUGUUAAUUUUUAAUGUA